rnacentral:sRNA from 1 species
AUCUACUGCUGCCAAUCUAUCGCCGCUGCCAACCUAUCUAUUGCUGCUAAGCUAUCCCUCGCUGGCUAUCCCUCGCUGCUAAUCUAUCCCUGGCUGCUAAUCUAUCCCUCGCUGCCAACCUAUCUAUCGCUGCCAAUCUAUCUAUCGCUGCUAAUCUAUCGCUGCUAAUCUAUCGCUGCCAACCUAUCUACCGCGGCGAAUCUAUCUAUUGCUGCCAACCAACCUACCUACCACUGCCAACCUAUCUAUCGCUGCCAAUCUAUCGCUGCCAACCUAUCUACCGCGGCGAAUCUAUCUAUCACUAUCAUUACUAGUUCAAAAUAGAACUAGAGCAUAAACACACUAAACUUCUUUUGAUAGGUAAUGAUUUUUGGUAACACUCAUAUCAUUAUAUCAUCUAUAUAGGGUAAAUCAUGGUCCCAUUUGGUCCCAUUUUGUAAAAUGGGACAAAUGGGACCAGAAUCAGUAAUUUAUAAGAAGAACAUGACCUGGGACUAGAUUUAUAAUAUAAACAGUGUAAAGUGACUAAUUUAAAAAACACUAUAUGGGACCAGGACUAAGAAAUUUGAUAAUGGGACUGAAGAAAUAUUUAGUCCCAGUCCCAUGCAUGGUCACACAGCCAGUCUAAUCAACAAAAUGAACAGAAAAUCUCAGUCAGUCACAGUCUCAGACAGCCUAGAUAUCUCAGUAGCAGACCUCAGUCUGUGUAUGAUAUUAGAGUAACUUGAUGAUAGUGUGAGGUGAAAUUGCAUCUGAGAAGAAGAGAAAGUGAAUAUGAUCAUCAUAUUGAAAACAGUUUCAGCUGCAGCACAGCUGGGCCAGAUGACACUAGCAGUGAGAUUCAAGAAAAAAGAGAGGAUGAGCACAGCACACACGAGACAAGAGAAUUAUGAGGAAAGAAAGAGAAAAUAGAGAUGAUG